rnacentral:rRNA from 1 species
AUUGAACGCUGGCGGCAGGCCUAACACAUGCAAGUCGAGCGGAUGAAGGGAGCUUGCUCCUGGAUUCAGCGGCGGACGGGUGAGUAAUGCCUAGGAAUCUGCCUGGUAGUGGGGGAUAACGUCCGGAAACGGGCGCUAAUACCGCAUACGUCCUGAGGGAGAAAGUGGGGGAUCUUCGGACCUCACGCUAUCUGAUGAGCCUAGGUCGGAUUAGCUAGUUGGUGGGGUAAAGGCCUACCAAGGCGACGAUCCGUAACUGGUCUGAGAGGAUGAUCAGUCACACUGGAACUGAGACACGGUCCAGACUCCUACGGGAGGCAGCAGUGGGGAAUAUUGGACAAUGGGCGAAAGCCUGAUCCAGCCAUGCCGCGUGUGUGAAGAAGGUCUUCGGAUUGUAAAGCACUUUAAGUUGGGAGGAAGGGCAGUAAGUUAAUACCUCGCUGUUUUGACGUUACCAACAGAAUAAGCACCGGCUAACUUCGUG